AGGCCGAAAGGCGUAGUCGAUGGGAAACAGGUUAAUAUUCCUGUACUUGGUGUUACUGCGAAGGGGGGACGGAGAAGGCUAUGUUAGCCGGGCGACGGUUGUCCCGGUUUAAGCAUGUAGGCUGAUUAUCCAGGCAAAUCCGGAUAAUCAAGGCUGAGGUGUGAUGACGAGGCACUACGGUGCUGAAGUAACAAAUGCCCUGCUUCCAGGAAAAGCCUCUAAGCAUCAGGUAACAUCAAAUCGUACCCAAAACCGACACAGGUGGUCAGGUAGAGAAUACCAAGGCGCUUGAGAGAACUCGGGUGAAGGAACUAGGCAAAAUGGUGCCGUAACUUCGGGAGAAGGCACGCUGGUGUGUAGGUGAAGUCCCUGCGGA
rnacentral:rRNA from 1 species